AAGGAAUAAAGUCGGGUAUGGAUACCCGUUUGCAUGUACUUUAUGAAUAAGGAUCGGCUAACUCCGUGCCAGCAGCCGCGGUAAUACGGAGGAUCCGAGCGUUAUCCGGAUUUAUUGGGUUUAAAGGGAGCGUAGAUGGAUGUUUAAGUCAGUUGUGAAAGUUUGCGGCUCAACCGUAAAAUUGCAGUUGAUACUGGAUAUCUUGAGUGCAGUUGAGGCAGGCGGAAUUCGUGGGGUAGCGGGGAAAUGCUUAGAUAUCACGAAGAACUCCGAUUGCGAAGGCAGCCUGCUAAGCUGCAACUGACAUUGAGGCUCGAAAGUGUGGGUAUCAAACAGGAUUAGAUACCCUGGUAGUCCACACGGUAAACGAUGAAUACUCGCUGUUUGCGAUAUACAGCAAGCGGCCAAGCGAAAGCGUUAAGUAUUCCACCUGGGGAGUACGCCGGCAACGGUGAAACUCAAAGGAAUUGACGGGGGCCCGCACAAGCGGAGGAACAUGUGGUUUAAUUCGAUGAUACGCGAGGAACCUUACCCGGGCUUAAAUUGCAGAUGAAUUACGGUGAAAGCCGUAAGCCGCAAGGCAUCUGUGAAGGUGCUGCAUGGUUGUCGUCAGCUCGUGCCGUGAGGUGUCGGCUUAAGUGCCAUAACGAGCGCAACCCUUGUUGUCAGUUACUAACAGGUUCUGCUGAGGACUCUGACAAGACUGCCAUCGUAAGAUGUGAGGAAGGUGGGGAUGACGUCAAAUCAGCACGGCCCUUACGUCCGGGGCUACACACGUGUUACAAUGGGGGGUACAGAGGGCCGCUACCACGCGAGUGGAUGCCAAUCCCCAAAACCUCUCUCAGUUCGGACUGGAGUCUGCAACCCGACUCCACGAAGCUGGAUUCGCUAGUAAUCGCGCAUCAGCCACGGCGCGGUGAAUACGUUCCCGGGCCUUGUACACACCGCCCGUCAAGCCAUGGGAGCCGGGGGUACCUGAAGUGCGUAACCGCGAGGAGCGCCCUAGGGUAAAACUGGUGACUGGGGCUAAGUCGUAACAAGGUAGCCGUACCGGAAGGUGCGGCUGGAACACC
rnacentral:rRNA from 2 species